CAUAUCUUAUCUGCACGGGAUUUGCCAAGACCUGCUGUGCCCUCCAUUGCAUGUGAUGUGAAGGUCCCUUAGACAUGGCAGCUUCCAUUGUGGUCCCAGCCUCUGGUCAGCCAAGAAGAGCUCAGCCAAACAGCUGGAAGGUAUCCUGGUUCUGGAAGAUAUAUGUGCCCAAAGCACCCUGUCAGCCGUGGACUCACCCUCAAGCCAUUUCCCUUAUGAUAGCUCAUAAAAUACUGCAUAAUAGUUCCUGUGCAAGCAUGAGAAAAUACUGAAAAUCAAGAAAAAAGGCAACUGGUUCCCCUGAUGAAUUUGCAGAGAUUCUGUUUGGACUGAGCUUUGCUAGAAGAACCACAGAGAUCAGUGAUACCACAGAAGGAAGCCAUUGGAGAAUUCGUGUGCUAUUUUAGCUGGCUCUGUGAUUGCAAUCACACAAAUCACUACAUUCCAGAGAGGUCCCAUGAACAGAAGGUUUUUCCAUUUCAGUCUUUUCAAGGUUAAGUUUUAUUGCCUCGUUGUCAAUAUAUUAGAGUUUUAGAAGGAUCAGAGAUAAAUGUUUAACUGGAAAUCAAGUAAUGAAAAAAAUCAGCUGAUUGAUUUGGUACAGUUACUGUUCCACCCUCAAGAUCUUGAAGCAGACAUCAGCAGAAUGCCUUGGCACUAAUGUUUCCUCCUGGAGCUCAGGCUAUCGUGGUUUCUUCGAAAGGGAAAAACAUUGCCCCGCCAGAAGAAAGGCUUCAGAGUGGAUCACCUGGAACAAAUAUGGCUUUCACUGAGUCUCCAGAUAGAUAAAGUUUCCGUUUUGUCACUUAUACAGAAUAACUGCUAAUCUCCACCUGCGACAAGCUGGCUCCUGUCACCCUUCAGCAUAUCCUGGCACCACAGUGCAGCUUAUCUUUCAACAGUACAAGAGAUUUAUCGCAAGGAAUUACAUCAUGUGAUGAUAGAGGCUGCAAAGUCUCAUGACCAAAAAUCAGCAAACUGGAGUCCCAGGAGAGCCAAUGUUAUAAUCUCAAUCCUAAGAACCAGAACAUCCAGUGGUGUAGUAAGUCCUAAUCAGCCCAAAUGGAUGGAGACACAUGCAUUCAAUCUGAGCUGAAUGCCAAUGGGAGGUCUAUUUGCUGAAGCCUAUCUCCAGAGCCAGGAGUAAGAGGGAGCAAGGAAGAGCACUGCAGGCUUCUCUGUCUUUGCUUUUAGCUGCAUAUACAGUACAUCAGGAUGUCUUGAUGCUGACUCAAAGCAACUGUGUCUAGCAAGACAGAAUUCUCCUUUCUACAUCUCCUGAUGCCAGUCUCCCAGACUUUUGUUCCUUUGCUGUUGACACACCAUUGUAAGAUAAAUAAAUAAGACAAUACCUAAUUCCAUGGUUGAGAUCUCUGCCUCCCAAAAUGAUAAUCAUCAACAGGAAGAAUGGCUCAUAAGUAAUGGACUGCACUAAAUGAUUCUGGUACCAAAUGGAAGCCAGAUUUUCAAACCAACAUCUCCCUUAGGCCUGGGAAGAUAUUUAGCCACAAUGGAGCUGCCAACUCCUGACUCCAGAGGAAAAACAAAGUUUCUUCAACCAACUGGGCACAUUUAAGCUGGAGUAGGAAGGGGCAUGGAGGAACACGGAAGGUCAUCUGCUCUCCUUUCAGGAAAGAAGAGGGUGUUUCAACCGUGGCCCCUGUAUGCCUCCCUGGGACACUUCUUGGAACCAGUUACCAGCGCCCUGCAAGCCCAACUCACAGGGAAGAAGAGAGACUAAAACCAGUGAACCCCACAUCAAGCAGGGUCAACAAUGUCUCAGCAACCACCAUCCAUGCGUGUGGCCUCUCUGUCUCGCUGGCCUCCUCUCUCUAGGGAUAUGGACCCCUGCCUGUACCCAGCUUUCCUCCACUCUUGGUCUGGAACUCAACCUGCAAUAUCGCUAAGGUGUGUCCAUGUUAUCGAUGUAAAGGUAUCACUUACAGCAGAUAUACAGGAGAAAGGAGGCCAGAAAGUCAAGGAUGGUGAGGUUUUGUAUUCUAUGAAGAAUUUCCUGCACACUCAGAGGGGAGGAGAACAGCAUGUGAAUGUGAAGAUGGAGGCAGAGAUGGAAGUGAUGUGUCUACAAGUCAAGGACUCCUGGCAACCACUACAAGCUGGGAGAGAGGUAUGGCACAGAUUUUCUCUCAGGGCUUCUGGAAGAAAUCAACCCUGCUGACACCUGAUUUCAGACUUCUGGCCUCCAAAACUGUGAAAGAAUAAACCCUUGUGUCUCUUAGUCACUAAAAUUGUGGUCAUCUGUCACAGCAACCUUAGGAAGCAAAAAGAGCAUUUCACGUGAAAA